UGCUUCAGGGGAGACGAUGUGCAUAUACGAGUACUACUAAUAAUCAUCCUACAACGCAACGAGUGGUAAACUAACAGAGUGAUUAUUCGAGUCCUAUAACUUGCUGCACAUCGGGAAAUAUAAGCAAGCCACAAUGACCAGGGCACAUCACAUCGGGAAAAAUAAAUCCACAGUUCCACAAAAUAGAAGUUCCAGAUCUAGAUUCUUGCUAUACGCUGAAUAUCACAGCACCAUCCAUUCCGCCACAGAGCAUGCAACAGUCAGUGACAAAACAACCAGUACGAAGGUAGAAACGGACCGAAACGAUUUGCAAGUCGAUGGCGCCCCGCCGCCCCCGUCUCGCCGUGGUCGCCCUACGCGGCCCCGGCCUUCUUGUCGUCGCCGCCCUCCGCGGCCGGGGCCUCGNN
rnacentral:lncRNA from 1 species